rnacentral:rRNA from 1 species
GAUGAACGCUGGCGGCGUGCCUAAUACAUGCAAGUCGAGCGAACGGACCAGAAGCUUGCUUCUCUGAUGUUAGCGGCGGACGGGUGAGUAACACGUGGAUAACCUACCUAUAAGACUGGGAUAACUUCGGGAAACCGGAGCUAAUACCGGAUAAUAUUUUGAACCGCAUGGUUCAAAAGUGAAAGACGGUCUUGCUGUCACUUAUAGAUGGAUCCGCGCUGCAUUAGCUAGUUGGUAAGGUAACGGCUUACCAAGGCAACGAUGCAUAGCCGACCUGAGAGGGUGAUCGGCCACACUGGAACUGAGACACGGUCCAGACUCCUACGGGAGGCAGCAGUAGGGAAUCUUCCGCAAUGGGCGAAAGCCUGACGGAGCAACGCCGCGUGAGUGAUGAAGGUCUUCGGAUCGUAAAACUCUGUUAUUAGGGAAGAACAUAUGUGUAAGUAACUGUGCACAUCUUGACGGUACCUAAUCAGAAAGCCACGGCUAACUACGUG